UUACCUUCCCCAGACCCCACCUGGUGGGAGUAUACUGGGUAGUUGUUGUUGUUGUUGUUGAUUCAUAAUUCAGACUCCUAAUGCAAUAUCGGGUAGAAAUUAAUUGAACAAAUUAAUUUAAAAGAAGGUAACCUGAGCAUCAGUUAAUCGUGAAGGGCUAGGGGAAGAAGAGGAGGAAAGAUCAAGGGAAGGGCGGCGAUCGAGAGCAUCAGUAUCGGAGGCGGCAUCAAGGCCACGCCGGGAAGUGGAAGGCGACAGAUGCAUGUGUUGCGACGGCGGAGGCGACGGCGACAUAAUUUUCUCGGUCACGGCGGCAGCCAUGGUUGGGUGGUUGUUGUGAAAUUAAUAACAACGAGUCCAAAGGAAGUGUAAACGGCUAUUUAGCACGGAGAAUGACGUGUCGGUUACAUCAAAGGUUCGAGCGCGUCGUGGUGUUGUUGGGACGUAACUCUACCGAUGGUAUUCAGUUUUUUUAAAAAAAAAUAUUUAUUCAGUUUUAAGUUUGAUGUGCCCAUUUUUGACUUUUUUCUCGACCUUUUUCCUCGCUACUAGACCAACUAACGGUCAACAGUAU
rnacentral:lncRNA from 1 species